rnacentral:ncRNA from 1 species
CGCAGGACUUAAAGCAAUUUGAGUGCGCCGGCGGAAACGCCGGAUGUAGAACUUCUCAAAUUCGGGGAAGCCUUCUCCUUUAUCGGAAUGGUAAUCCCGAGCCAAGUCCCGGCCUAGCCGGGGAAGGUGUAGAGACUUGACGGGAAGCGCCUAAGUACGGACAAUCGUCGGUAUACGGUGAAGAGAAAGUCCAGGUCACAAAUCCUGACAUUGAUCG